ACCGGAAACGGAGGAGAGCGCGGGGGAUGUGUUUGGCAUGGGGACGCACUGUUACAGUUGCGCUCCUGGUUGGCUUUGUGUUUCCGCGGUGUUGGUAGAGUCUCGGUGUUUCUACCUCUUAGCACCCUUUCCUGCCACCCUUUGUCCUGUGGAAGCCCGGAGACAUCAGCGGCUGCAAUUUUGCUACUCGCUGCUCGGCAUGGAACGGUCAGGGGCAUUUUAAUAUAGAAGUGUGAAAAAUGGAAAGUCAGUCUGAAAGGGGACGUCUUGAAUGUCGUUUUGAAGGUGUUGCAUUUGAAGUACUGAUGCGAUGCUGUCAGUGGAAACAAACUCAGGACAAAAAAUAAUAUCCAAAGAUAUUUUGGCACUAACAGCGCUAUCUGUAGCAAGAAAGUUGAGCAGUGUGAACUGUUGAGACUUCCAAGAAGACUUCAGAGAACCAAGACAGUGUAAAGGAAAACAGGAAAAAAGACUUGUUAGACAUUAUUAAGGGCACGAAAGUUGAAUUGAGCACAGUAAAUGUACAAACAACAAAGCCACCCAACAGAAGUCCACUUAAAAGCUACAACUGGCCCGCCUCAAAGAGCUACAGAGCAUGCUCCAAAGAAGAGAAAUGAGCCCGUGAGUCCUGAGUUGGUGGCAGCUGCAUCUGCUGCUCUGUUUUGACAAGCAAACAAGCCAGAACUGCUCAGGCAGCUCCGUAGCAUGAGGAAGAGUCAGGGGCACAGAGAGAUGGAGAGAGACCUAGUUAGAGAGCGAACCAUGUGCUGGAUUUAGCCAGUCCUGCAUUUUUCUAUACUUCAAAUCAAAACGGGCCAUGCUUCACAUCUACCCAUGAUGAAUAGGGGUACUUUGAUUAAGAAUAAAUAGAGCUGACUGAAUUCUGAACAAGAAAAACAUAUUCAAGGGGAAGAGAUGUAAUAGUUUUGACGUGACGACAGUUACUAAAGAAGCACCUGAACAGACACAUCACCUUCACUUUGGGAUGUGGAAUUUGCUAAAUAAGCCACAGAAAAUGAACAUCCCUUCAGAAUGGGUUUGAAGAGCUGAUCCAGUGGAUUAAAGAGGGGAAACUGGGAGUUUCCAAUUAACAAUGAAGCAGGAGCUGACUAAGGCUUUGGAACAGAAACCAGAUGAUGCACAAUAUUAUUGUCAAAGAGCUUAUUGUCACAUUCUUCUUGGGAGUUACUAUGGAUCUGUAAAUAACUGACGAAAAACCCAUCUGUUUCUACGUAGUUGCUGUUGCCGACACAAAGAAGUCUUAUGAACUCAAUCCAAAUAAUUCCACUGCUAUGCUGAGAAAAGGGGGCUGGCGGCAUGGAGUCUUGCUCUGUCACCCAUCCUCGAGUGCAAUGGCACCAUCUUAGUUCACUGCAGCCUUGAAUUCCAGGGCUCGAGCCAUCCUUCUGCCUCUGCCUCCUGAGUAGGUGGGACUACAGGCAUGUGCCACCAUACUGAGCUAAUUUGUUAAACACUUUUUUUGUAGAGACGAGGUCUUGCUACGUUUCCCAGACUGGUCUCUGAACUCCCGGCCUCAAGUGAUCCUACUGCCUUGGCCUCCCAAAGUACUGGCAUAAUAGACAUGAGCCACUGCACCUGGCUCCUAAGUUCUUUUCUUGAAUAAUAUCUUUCUUUUUUUUUAUUUUUUGAGGUGGAGUCUCACCCUGUUGCCCAGGCUGGAGUGCAAUGGCGUGAUCUCGGCUCACUGCAACUUCUACCUCCCGGGUUCAAGUGAUUCUCCUGCCUCAGCCUCCUGAAUAGCUAGGAUUACAGGCGUGCGCUACCACGCCUGGCUAAUUUUUUGUGUCUUUAGUAGAGAUGCGGUUUCACCAUGUUGGCCAGGCUUGUCUCGAACUCUUGACCUCGUGAUCCACCCGCCUUGGCCUCCCAAAGUGUUGGGAUUACAGGCGUGAGCCACCACGCCUGGCCAAGUAAUAUCUUAAUAUCAUGCCAUUGACAUUUAUCCUCUAAUUAUUUCAGAGGUGGCCUUCAGAAGAAGGCCUCUUUGGUAAAAUUGCUAUUGAGGAUAUUUCACUGAAAAACAAAUUUAUCUUUAAAUUUAAAUCCAGGAAAAAUUUAAACUUUCAGGCUUCUAUUUUUAUCAGACAGGGUAAAAAAUUUAUAACUCAGAAUAUUACCCUUUCCCCUCUUUGUGUGAUGGAUUGCUUGGUUUUAGUUACUGAUUAUUUAAAAUAAUAAGUUAUUCAAAUCUAGGAUUUUGAUACAAUAGUUCUUCUCUAGAAUAUAGUGUGUGUGUGAGAGUAUAUUUAAAAUUUUUAUUAAGGCCCAUGGGGCAGCCUUUGAGGAAACCAGACCUUGGGGAUCGCCAGGCAGGAUUAGUGGCAGGAAUUGAGAGAACAGAGCCCCACAGAGCUCCUCGGGGACCGUCCCCCAGUCACAAGAGUAUCUCAAGGAAGUAGUCUUCUCCCACAUCCCCCAAAGAUAACUACCAGAGGGUCAGUUCUCUGAGCCCUUCUCAGUGUAGAAAAGACAAGUGUCAAAGCUUCCCCACUCACCCUGAGUUUGCCUUCUAUGACAAUACGUCGUUUGGCCUCACUGAGGCUGAGCAGAGGAUGCUGGACCUCCCAGGAUAUUUUGGGUCAAAUGAAGAGGAUGAAACCACAAGUACACUUAGCGUGGAGAAGCUGGUGAUCUAGACUGAGAAUCAGCCUGAGCUUAACACAGCUGGGGUCUGCUACUCGCGUUUUGUAGACUUUUGUGUAACUAUUUGUACCGUAGGACAGAAUGUGAGGAGGAAGUAACACACACAGAGGAGGAUGUGUGUGUGUGCAUGUGUUUGAAUUCACAAGGAAGAAAUUAUUUAUCUUGAGCUUUUUCCUUUGUUAUUCAGUUUUUAUUGGUUUAUUACUAAUAAUGAUAAUAAAAUGUAAACAAGAGCAAA
rnacentral:lncRNA from 1 species